UGGGAUGUAGCUCAGUAGUAGAGCACUUGCCUACCAUGUACUAGGCCCUGGGUUCAAUUCCCAGCACUGCAA
rnacentral:tRNA from 1 species